GUUCGCUCGGGGUUGGAGAGGAAAAUAUCUUCUCUCGUUUCCUUCCCUACGCACGCGAUCCCUGUCUCUCUCUUUCCUUUCCUCUCCUCCAACCCCCGUCCCUUUCCUGCUGCUCCGCCGCCGGCUCUUUCUCCGCCAAGUCCACCGCGCGCCGCCCGUGCCCAUGCCCUCCUCACCUCCCGUCCCGAGCUCCAUCUCCCCCAGCCUCGUAUACCCCGAUCUUCUCGAUCCGAUUUGGAUCUCAGGAGCUCACAGGAGGGGAGGCGAGGUGCCUGCGCCGGCGGCAAGGGUGCGUGGGUGCGGCUGAUGUCCACGUCCGCGGCCUCGCAGGCCAAGGACGCGGCGGCCAAGGCGGCCAAGGGCGACAGGGAGAAGAAGGAGGUGGCGAUUACGUCAAGGACGCUCUUCGCUUGCUCUGCUCUGCUCUGGUUUUCCCGUUUCGAUUACGUCACCGGCGAGGGGUCGCCAGAUCGUAGUGUGUGUGCGGUUGAUGGCGCUAUUAUUUUAUUAACAUGUUGCGCCGCCGCCGUGUGUGAUUGAUUGGUUUUGCUGCCGCAGCAGCCAUGGAAGAUGUUCGAGUGGCAGGGUGGCCCCAUCAUCCUCGCCCAGGUGGAGACGGGUACAUGGAGUAGGCGAUGGGCGGCGGCGCCGAGCCGUACACCAACUGGGCCACCAAGAUGGUCGUCGCCACUGACACCAGCGUGCCGUGGGUGAUGUGAAAGCAUGAAGAUGCCCCCGACGCCGCGAUUUGUCAGUUGUUCCCUUUGUAAUGAUGAAUAUAUUCGUGAUGGCUACAAAAAAAUACCUGCAAUGGCUUCUACUGCAACUCCUUCGGCCCCAACUCCAACAGCAAGCCUACCAUGUGGACCGAGGCCUGGCCUGGAUGGUUCACGGCAUUUGGUGUCGCGGUGCCGCACCGGCUGGUGGAGGACAUGUCGUUCGUGGUGGUAAGGUUCAUUCAGAAGUGCGGUUCCUUCGUCAACUACUACAUGUACCAUGGACCGGACCGCCGAUGGCAUGUUCAUCGCGGCAAGCUACGACCAUGAUGCACCGAUUGACGAAUAUGGUACGCGACCAGUACUCUGAUUGUCUGUAACCAUUGUUGUCAUGGUGCGCAGGUCUGCUUAGGCAGCUGAACUGGGGACACCAGAGGAACCUGCACAAGGCCAUCUAGCAGGCCGAGCGGGUUCUCGUCUCCGGCCAUCCCUCCAAUCCUCCAUCCGGCGCAUCGGGAACUAUGAGAAGAGGAGGCCCUGGCUCGGACAACCGCCGCAGGGUCGGGUGCGCCGGUGAGGUCCCUGGGGUCGGCGCGGCGGGCGUGACCUCUCCCGGCUCCCCGCCCUCGUCCGCGACAACAAGGACCAAGAUGUAUUUACGGUGUUGUCUGGUGCGUCGUCAGGUUUGGUUGGUCGAGGCCGGGUAUGAGUAGCUCCUGAUGCUGAUGGAUGGAUGGAGAUAUCAGGGUCAUGUCGCUGGGUGGGCAAAGACCGGGGGUACAACCUCCUUUUCGGUAAAAAAAUGAGGGGUGAUGAUGAUGACUCUGGCUGACAUAAGCAUGUCUUGAGCAAUCAAGACUGCUGUAGCCUGUGGGUACUAAAUUAGAGCCCACCCUUACCUCUCUGGCAGCCUGUUCAAUUCAUUGGUGAUGUUGGAUGUUCUGCACCUCGGAUGGUCAUUCUGACGAGUGAUAACCAGGGCAGUUCGUCUACAUUGCGAUGGUUAUGUUAUGCAGCAAGAGAUCUGAGUGUUGGGCUUGAAGAUCAAAGACAAAACCGAGCCCUCUUUUGCUAUGCUACAAAUACACAAAUUUUCCUUAUUUAUUAUACAGUGUUCUUCUUUCUUUUCUAUUCCUCUGUUGUGUUGAUGUGAGUGAAGAUCCAUCUGGACUUGGGAUUUAUGUCUUUUUUUGGUGAUGAACACAACCACCCUAAGCUUACAUGAAUUGGUUCAUGGUUGCGCUGGACAUUCCCCAUGA